AUGAGCUAAACAUGCAUUCUACCCCAUAGAUCUUGCAUAAAACUUACUUUAAACAUGAAAUGAGCUUAAGAUCGGCUCUUACCUCUUGAAGAUCGAGAGAGAGACGUCCUAAACUCGGAGGUGGGAGAUUUUUGGGUUCUUGAACCUCAAAGCUCCAAAACUUGCUUAAAACUCAAAAAUCUUCCAAACAAAGUAAAAACUUGUGAAAAACUCGAAAGAUCUGAAGGAAAAGACUCAAGAUCGGUGAGGGGUGGCGGAGAACUCACCUUGGCCGGAAAUGGGGAAAAA
rnacentral:lncRNA from 1 species